UAUGUCCAAUGUAAGAAGUGUGAAGUUUUAAUGAAAUAUGAUUGAUGCAAUCCUCUUUCUCCACAAACAACAUGGAUUAAACCUCGAUGGUUGGACUAUGUAGAUAGUUUUAUAACAAACGUUGGCGUGAUCUUCAAUGGUAAGACUUGUCUGUUGUGCCUCCUUUGGUGUAGCAUAUAACGUGAGUUUUAUUAAGGCAUAGCGUGUGUAAUGUGUAGGCUAUUUCAUUCCGUUUGUUAACCUUUCCUGCGAUCUGUCUCUGACCGUAGUUGGAGAUUGCAGGGCAGACUAUUACAUGUUUUCAACUAUGCGGUUAAUUCCCUUUCCUUUCCGUCUGCUGGUUAGUAAAUAAAUGCCCACUGUAUUCUUUCUGAGGAUUUAUUCUUCACACACUUCUACAGCACAUACAUUUUUGGCUCCUGUCGCUACAUCCAAAACUAUUCUUAAGCAUCACCGUUCUCUCUCUCUAGCUCUACCACACCCACCCUGUACGUGCUGCUCUUAAAGGAGCCGCACCAUUUUACAACACGUUCUUGCAAUGUGAAUAAUUUAAUUUCAAUGUUUAUUGGCCUUCUUGUGCACGCUUGUGCGUUUAACAGCGCUUGUUUGUGUGAGCGAGUAUGUAUCUGUUGAUGUCCGAGUUUAAUAAAGCCAGGCUAUUCAUAAAAAACUUACGUAAAUGUGGCAUUAAUAUGAACAGUUAAGAAAUUGAUUCCGUCGGGCUCGGUUCGGGUUCGAAAAAAAAUAUUUGAAUGGCUGUCAGACUCGGGUCGGGCUCGGUUACUACUCUGUCGGACGCGGGUCGGGCUCGGACAGAAAAAUUUGGCCCGAUUCAUGCUCUACUUUGGAGCAGAUAAAGUAAGUACUUUGUACAGAGUAAAAGGAAUCUUUAACAAGGUCUCUAUUUUACCAUAACUCCAUCACCAUGCCAUACCCUGUGGAUGGGACUUGACUGGAGCCAAUCUUAUCCUCCAGUAAGACACAGACCCAAAAGAUUGAUCCAAAUUAUGCAAGACCUAUUUAGUGAAGAACCAGAGAAGCUGUAAUGCUGCAAAGUUUAUACUUGCUUGCAAUGGUGGAUUAUUUGAUGAAGCACACAACCAUGUCAUUGAAUGUUAUUCCAAGCAGAAAUCAUUACUUCUAACUUUGACGAUGGCUUGACUAUAUAUUGUAUUUAUUUUUUAUAUUAUAUCUAUUUGAUGGAGUUUUCCUGGAAGAUGUGUCAUUUCCUGGGUGAUUCCAAGCUUUUGAACAGUAGUGUAUGUAGUGUAUGUAUAGUGAGCAGACUUGAAUGCCCCACCAGUGAUUCAAUGCAGUGAUGUCAGGAUCUGACCUGCAUCCAGGUACAUGAAAAAGCCAAUGUCAGGGACCCACUAAUGCCCAUCACAUUACUAAAUACACCAACCUGCUCUGUGAUCUUUUAAAUCAAAUACAGUACUUCUGAGUUCUAAGUCUGGUUGCAUCACAGCCUUAUUAAAUGAAAUGGGACAUGCAAAACCUCUUAUGAGCUUAGGACUACAGUAGGGCUCCUAUGAAUACGUCAACAUUUGUGUCAGCAUUACUGUUACAUACAUAGUUUCAAUAUUUAUUUUCAUGCAGGUUUUCACGCAUUAGUAAAUCCUUUUUAUGACAAUUACAAACUACAGACACAUCAGGUCUUAGUACAGCAGGUGGGCGUGACGUCAGGAGCAGUAUGUCACUGUGUUUUGGACUAUUGUCUCAUAAGCCUUUUAUCAGCUCUAUUGAUUGCAUAACAUCAAUCAAGCCUGCCAAGUGGUCAUCAAACACGCAUGAUAGGUUUACUUGUUUGAGAGCUCAAAAAGUUACCGUUCGCAUCUUUUGGGGUAUCUUAAAAAGUGAAAUAUGUGUCUUAUUAUCACUGAGGUAGUAGGUGUUCUGAUGUGUAUUGCGUUGGCUGUUGCAUAUAUUGUUGGUGAAAAGGAGUUUGACAAGUUUUUCAUUCUUUUUUAUAGUUCUUUCAAGUCCAUAUCACAUAUCUGCUGUCAAACCCCAAAAGCCUUGAAUCUUGUCUAUCACUCUUACACCACCUAUAUAUCUUUAUGUACUUUAUGCAAAGUACAUAGAUCAGCAUAGACUUGGAUCACAUUGCUUGCACUUGUUUUCUGUACAAAGAAAUCUACUCAAGCAUUUUGUCUGUUAGAAAUCAUAUUAAACUUUCGUAAGUACUGCACCAGCAUUAUAUCAGCCCGGGGUGAGUUGUGUGUACCUUGCGCCUGCGCUCAGCUCUUUCCCUGUGGCGUCGCCGUCUCUCCCUGGCUUUCUCCAAAGCCCUGAUCUCCAAGUGCUGCUCUAGCUCCCGGGCUUUCUUCAGGUGGGACGCCGCGUGCGCCAUGCCUCAGACACACCGCCACAGCCACAGCCAGAAAAAUGUCCAAACUCUCUGUGUGUCUGUGUGUGUGUGUUCAGAUUAACACACACCCCAUUGAAUAUCAGACAAGAGUGUGUGUAUAAAAUAUAAGGUUCCGCUCCAGACUCACAAAAAAGAAUGAAAAGAAAAAUGAAAUAAAAACCGAUUGUUAACAGAUGGAUCACACUGACAAUUCAGAGCAAAGAUCUGUCUUCAAAUGUCCUCUGUCACCGGAUGCUGGGAUUUAGAUGAGACAGCUCAUUGCCCAGUAUCUGUUAGUAUGAAAAAAAAACAAUGCAAUGCACAUACCCUGUCCUCCUCUGCAACAAACUCAUCAAACCUCACAGAUGAGGUGGUAUGAAUGUUGCCAUGUAAUGUGGCUACACCUAAUCACCUUGCACCACUGCUUCCUUCCUGUCUCACUCCUUCAGACUUCCCUCUGAAGACGUUCCUCCACCUCCUCUGUUUUUGAUCUCUUUCAUUUGCUUCCCUUUUACAUGGUUCUAGUCACUGUCAUUCCAUAACUCUCCCUGUUGUCCAGCUUCAGUCUCCCCGCCAGAGAGAAGGGGAGAGAGCGAGGGAGAAAGUCAGAGAGAGAAACCACUACUCUCUGAAUCAUUUAUGUGUCUGUGUGGGGAGCUCACUCAGAGAGGGAGGGAUAAAGAGAUGAGGGUGAGAAAGAGAGCUCGAGAGAGAGGAGGACAAAGAGAGAGAGAGAGAGAGAGAGAGGGAUGAAGGGAUAAAUGUGGGACAAAGCGCAUGAGGGUGAAAGGGGUAGAUACAGAAAGCAGACAGGGAGAGAGAGGGAGAGAGAGGGAGAGAGAGGGAGAGAGAUAAAGACAGACAGAUCUAGAGACUAUUAGAGAGAGAGAGAGAGAGAGAGAGAGAGAGAGAGAGAG
ensembl:lncRNA